rnacentral:rRNA from 1 species
UACGUAGGGUGCAAGCGUUGUCCGGAAUUAUUGGGCGUAAAGAGCUCGUAGGCGGUCUGUUGCGUCGGCUGUGAAAACCCGGGGCUCAACUCCGGGCCUGCAGCCGAUACGGGCAGACUAGAGUUCGGCAGGGGAGACUGGAAUUCCUGGUGUAGCGGUGAAAUGCGCAGAUAUCAGGAGGAACACCGGUGGCGAAGGCGGGUCUCUGGGCCGAUACUGACGCUGAUGCACGAAAGCGUGGGGAGCAAACAGG